GACGAACGCUGGCGGCGUGCUUAACACAUGCAAGUCGAACGGAAAGGCCCUGCUUUUGUGGGGUGCUCGAGUGGCGAACGGGUGAGUAACACGUGAGUAACCUGCCCUUGACUUUGGGAUAACUUCAGGAAACUGGGGCUAAUACCGGAUAGGAGCUCCUGCGGCAUGGUGGGGGUUGGAAAGUUUCGGCGGUUGGGGAUGGACUCGCGGCUUAUCAGCUUGUUGGUGGGGUAGUGGCUUACCAGGGCUUUGACGGGUAGCCGGCCUGAGAGGGUGACCGGCCACAUUGCGACUGAGAUACGGCCCAGACUCCUACGGGAGGCAGCAGUGGGGAAUAUUGCACAAUGGGCGGAAGCCUGAUGCAGCAACGCCGCGUGCGGGAUGCCGUCCUUCGGGUUGUAAACCGCUUUCGCCUGUGACGAAGCGUGAGUGACGGUAAUGGGUAAAGAAGCACCGGCUAACUACGUG
rnacentral:rRNA from 1 species